rnacentral:rRNA from 1 species
GACGAACGCUGGCGGCGUGCUUAACACAUGCAAGUCGAACGGUGACGAGGAGCUUGCUCCUCCGAUCAGUGGCGAACGGGUGAGUAACACGUGAGCAACCUGCCCCAGACUCUGGGAUAACAGUUGGAAACAGCUGCUAAUACCGGAUACGAGACGGAGAGGCAUCUCUACCGUCUGGAAAGUUUUUCGGUCUGGGAUGGACUCGCGGCCUAUCAGCUAGUUGGUGAGGUAGUGGCUCACCAAGGCGACGACGGGUAGCCGGCCUGAGAGGGCGACCGGCCACACUGGGACUGAGACACGGCCCAGACUCCUACGGGAGGCAGCAGUGGGGAAUAUUGCACAAUGGGCGAAAGCCUGAUGCAGCGACGCCGCGUGAGGGAUGACGGCCUCGGUUGUAACCGUACUUCUAGCAGGAGAAGACGCAAAUAGACGGUAACC